UGGUGCAGUUCUCUGCUAGUUUUGCAUAGUUGCACUACAAGAAAACGGGAGUUGUGCAAAUCUAUGCAAAACUGAUGGUGGCCUGCUGC
ensembl:miRNA dre-mir-19a microRNA 19a